UUAGAAUUCAUAAAGAAACUCUUCCCAGAAUGAUUUUUCGCUUCAACCAACCUUUUCUCUUUGGAAUUUUAGUUGUUACAUUGGUUCUCGCUUCAGUUGCAGGAGCAGCAAUGGCACAAAAGAAAUGUUUUGGGUUUUGGCUAUGCAAUAAUGACGAAAUGUGCAAGCAAGUUUGUUUUAAACAAGGUUUAACGGGUCGAAGCUUUUGUGAGAAGGGCAAUUGUUGUUGUAUUGGAUAGACUUAAAUUGUAUUUGUAAUUAUUUCAUAAAACUACAGUAAAAUAAUAUAUAUGAUAACUAUAUUUAAUAUUUAAUUA